GGAUGUGAGGGCGAUCUGGCUGUGACAGCUGUCACCCCAUUGAUCGCCAGGGUUGAUUCGGCUGAUCUGGCUGGCUAGGUGGGUGUCCCCUUCCUCCCUCACCACUCCAUGUGCGUCCCUCCAUAAGCUGCGCACUCAGUUGAAGAGGAUGACCUUCCCUGAUAGAAGCAAGACCGUCCUUUGGUCAAGGGUAGCUGCGCUCCCCUGCUAGACCCUCCAAACAAAUCUCAAGGUCCAUUAAAAUGUAUAUAUAUAUAUCACUGAAAGGGUAAGUUUAGAGAAGGGGAGAAAUGGAAACUAUCCUGAACAUGUGGAUUCUAAGUUGCCUCUAGACCUCU
rnacentral:snRNA from 1 species